GCAGCGGGAUUGAACCUUGCUUCAUUUGCCGGCGACCGGCGCACGGGUGAGUAACGCGUAUCCAACCUUCCGCUUACUCGGGGAUAGCCUUUCGAAAGAAAGAUUAAUACCCGAUGGUAUCUUAAGCACGCAUGAGAUUAAGAUUAAAGAUUUAUCGGUAAGCGAUGGGGAUGCGUUCCAUUAGGCAGUUGGCGGGGUAACGGCCCACCAAACCUACGAUGGAUAGGGGUUCUGAGAGGAAGGUCCCCCACAUUGGAACUGAGACACGGUCCAAACUCCUACGGGAGGCAGCAGUGAGGAAUAUUGGUCAAUGGGCGAGAGCCUGAACCAGCCAAGUAGCGUGAAGGAUGACGGCCCUACGGGUUGUAAACUUCUUUUGUGCGGGAAUAAAGGAGCCUACGUGUAGGUUUUUGCAUGUACCGUAACGAAUAAGCAUCGGCUAACUCCGUGCCAGCAGCCGCGGUAAUACGGAGGAUGCGAGCGUUAUCCGGAUUUAUUGGGUUUAAAGGGAGCGUAGACGGGUUUUUAAGUCAGCUGUGAAAGUUUGGGGCUCAACCUUAAAAUUGCAGUUGAAACUGGAGACCUUGAGUACGGUUGAGGCAGGCGGAAUUCGUGGUGUAGCGGUGAAAUGCUUAGAUAUCACGAAGAACCCCGAUUGCGAAGGCAGCCUGCUAAGCCGCCACUGACGUUGA
rnacentral:rRNA from 1 species